rnacentral:tRNA from 1 species
GGAAGAAAGGCGAAUGCUGGUUCGUCGCGACCGUUUCGAAAACGGUUCUCGUUAAACGCGAGCGCGGGUUCGAUUCCUGCUUCUUCCG